rnacentral:rRNA from 1 species
GAUGAACGCUAGCGGCAGGCCUAACACAUGCAAGUCGAACGGUAACAUGAGUAGCAAUACUUGAUGACGAGUGGCGCACGGGUGCGUAACGCGUAUGCAACUUACCUCUAACUGGAGAAUAGCCUUCCGAAAGGAAAAAUAAUACUCCAUAAUAUUACGAUGUGGCAUCACAUUGUUCUUAAAGCUUCGGCGGUUAGAGAUGGGCAUGCGUCUGAUUAGCUUGUUGGUGAGGUAACGGCUCACCAAGGCAACGAUCAGUAGGGGGCCUGAGAGGGUUAUCCCCCACACUGGUACUGAGACACGGACCAGACUCCUACGGGAGGCAGCAGUGAGGAAUAUUGGUCAAUGGACGAAAGUCUGAACCAGCCAUGCCGCGUGCAGGAUGAAUGCCCUAUGGGUUGUAAACUGCUUUUAUAUAGGAAUAAACCCCUUUACGUGUAAAGGGCUGAAGGUACUAUAAGAAUAAGGACCGGCUAACUCCGUGCCAGCAG